rnacentral:rRNA from 1 species
GUCUAUUCUGCCCAUUGAGAAUAAUCUUAAAAGGCCGCGGUAUACUAACUGUGCAAAGGUAGCAUAAUCAGUAGUUUCUUAAUUGGAGGCUUGUAUGAAUGAUUGGACAAGAAUUAAACUGUCUUUUUAAAAARAAUUGAAUUUUAUUUUUAAGUGAAAAAGCUUAAAUAAAUGAGAGGGACGAUAAGACCCUAUAAAUCUUUAUGUAAUAUGUCUUUCUAAAGUAAUAUAUAAAUCAGUUUGUAAAACGGCUUAAGAGAGAAAUUUCAUUAUACUGGGGCGGUAGUGAUAUAAAAAAACUAUUAUUAAAAAUAUACAAAUAUAUUUGAGAAAAAAAAAGAUCCUGUUUACGGAUUAAAAGAAUAAGUUACUUUAGGGAUAACAGCAUAAUUUCUUUAAAGAGUUCGUAUCAAAAAAGAAGUUUGUGACCUCGAUGUUGAAUUAAAAGUUCCU